rnacentral:rRNA from 1 species
UACGAAGGGGGCUAGCGUUGCUCGGAAUUACUGGGCGUAAAGCGCACGUAGGCGGCUUCCUAAGUCGGUGGUGAAAUCCUGGAGCUCAACUCCAGAACUGCCUUCGAUACUGGGAAGCUCGAGUCCGGGAGAGGUGAGUGGAACUGCGAGUGUAGAGGUGAAAUUCGUAGAUAUUCGCAAGAACACCAGUGGCGAAGGCGGCUCACUGGCCCGGUACUGACGCUGAGGUGCGAAAGCGUGGGGAGCAAACAGG